UCUUCCCUUUCUACCUCUUGUAAGCAGGGCCGUAUACGUUCGCUGACACCGAAAGUGGGUGGUGCAAACGAAGCGCGUCGAACAUGGUGAAUACACGCACCUUCGGUGCAGUCGUUCUUUUUGUUAUAUUUGUCCUUGCCAUGUUAGAAAGGCAAGUUACUUUCAUUGCGUAUGCGAGUCCUAUUUGGGAGAGAAAACCUGGCGCGUCAAGCUUCGGGGCCCCACGUACCUCUUCGAGCCAGCACUCAUCUCAACGAGGUGCAUCGGCAAGAAGCAGUAAUGCUCUGAGCCGCCCACAAGCACAGAGAAUUCAACAACAGAUUCGGAAAGCUAGCCAAUCCACUCCUAAAAAGAAUGGAUAAUGCAAUAAAAAUGAAGACUGUGAAUGCUCAACCAGAUGGACCAAGCCCGGGAGCGGGAGCUUCGACAGCGCGAACAGCUGCCCGAGUCGGACCGAGUGUCAGUCGUGCGAGAAGGGCUCUUUCAAAUAGCAUCGGACCCAGCCAUGUCAGCCUCGAAGACAUGAAAGACUUGAUGAGUGCAAUGAAAAGACAGCCACGCAAUUCGGGGUUGCAGCCCCAGCCGCCCCGUCAAACUGUGAAUCGGAGGGUAUGAUGCUGGCAAAUCUAACGCAAACAUGGUUUCCAUACGAUUGAUGCGGCAUGUUGGUGCUGCACAACAGCACGUCAACAUCUCCUGAGGAAGAUGAGAGUGUGCAGAGAAAAGUGGCGGCAUUUAUUCUCCUCUGCAAGAAGUGUGGUGCAGUGCCUACGGCUUCUGUUCAUUAGCUAUUUACCACGAGUCUUGCAGUACUGCCUUAUUGAGAACCACCAGUACAACAGACACGUCCCACCUCCGUUGCCCACAAGAUACAAAAAACUUCUUAAUCGUAUUUGUUGUAGGUUACGGUAUAUGUGCCUAGAAGUGAUGGGCUUCAAGUAUCAUAUUAUUCCUCCAUUUAAUGCAUUAUUGCUGACCUCUAUAUGUUUGUGACUGCUUUUAAAAUAAAAGUUUUCUGUG